rnacentral:rRNA from 1 species
CCUACGGGAGGCAGCAGUGAGGAAUAUUGGACAAUGGACGAAGGUCUGAUCCAGCUAUGCCGCGUGCAGGAUGACGGCCCUAUGGGUUGUAAACUGCUUUUAUACAGGAAGAAAAACUCCGACGUGUCGGAACUUGACGGUACUGUAAGAAUAAGGAUCGGCUAACUCCGUGCCAGCAGCCGCGGUAAUACGGAGGAUCCAAGCGUUAUCCGGAAUCAUUGGGUUUAAAGGGUCCGUAGGCGGUUUUUUAAGUCAGAGGUGAAAUCCUGCAGCUCAACUGUAGAAUUGCCUUUGAUACUGAAAGACUUGAGUUAUUGUGAAGUGGUUAGAAUGUGUGGUGUAGCGGUGAAAUGCAUAGAUAUCACACAGAAUACCAAUUGCGAAGGCAGAUCACUAACAAUAUACUGACGCUCAGGGACGAAAGCGUGGGUAGCGAACAGGAUUAGAUACCCUGGUAGUCCACGCCGUAAACGAUGGAUACUAGCUGUAUGUCUACUUCAGGUAGAUGUGUGGCUAAGCGAAAGUGAUAAGUAUCCCACCUGGGGAGUACGAUCGCAAGAUUGAAACUCAAAUGAAUGACGG